GCCAGGCUGUCUCCACCCGAGACUCAGUGAAAUUGAACUCGCUGUGAAGAUGCAGUGUACCCGCGGCAAGACGGAAAGACCCCGUGAACCUUUACUAUAGCUUGACACUGAACAUUGAGCCUUGAUGUGUAGGAUAGGUGGGAGGCUUUGAAGUGUGGACGCCAGUCUGCAUGGAGCCGACCUUGAAAUACCACCCUUUAAUGUUUGAUGUUCUAACGUGGACCCGUAAUCCGGGUUGCGGACAGUGUCUGGUGGGUAGUUUGACUGGGGCGGUCUCCUCCUAAAGAGUAACGGAGGAGCACGAAGGUUGGCUAAUCCUGGUCGGACAUCAGGAGGUUAGUGCAAUGGCAUAAGCCAGCUUGACUGCGAGCGUGACGGCGCGAGCAGGUGCGAAAGCAGGUCAUAGUGAUCCGGUGGUUCUGAAUGGAAGGGCCAUCGCUCAACGGAUAAAAGGUACUCCGGGGAUAACAGGCUGAUACCGCCCAAGAGUUCAUAUCGACGGCGGUGUUUGGCACCUCGAUGUCGGCUCAUCACAUCCUGGGGCUGAAGUAGGUCCCAAGGGUAUGGCUGUUCGCCAUUUAAAGUGGUACGCGAGCUGGGUUUAGAACGUCGUGAGACAGUUCGGUCCCUAUCUGCCGUGGGCGCUGGAGAAUUGAGGGGGGCUGCUCCUAGUACGAGAGGACCGGAGUGGACGCAUCACUGGUGUUCGGGUUGUCAUGCCAAUGGCACUGCCCGGUAGCUAAAUGCGGAAGAGAUAAGUGCUGAAAGCAUCUAAGCACGAAACUUGCCCCGAGAUGAGUUCUCCCUGACUCCUUGAGAGUCCUGAAGGAACGUUGAAGACGACGACGUUGAUAGGCCGGGUGUGUAAGCGCAGCGAUGCGUUGAGCUAACCGGUACUAAUGAACCGUGAGGCUUAACCUUACAACGCCGAAG
rnacentral:rRNA from 1 species